GCUUACCAUGCAAGUCGAGCGGGGGAGGUUGCUUCGGUAAUUGACCUAGCGGCGGACGGGUGAGUAAUACUUAGGAAUCUGCCUAUUAAUGGGGGACAACAUCUCGAAAGGGAUGCUAAUACCGCAUACGCCCUACGGGGGAAAGCAGGGGAUCACUUGUGACCUUGCGUUAAUAGAUGAGCCUAAGUCGGAUUAGCUAGUUGGUGGGGUAAAGGCCUACCAAGGCGACGAUCUGUAGCGGGUCUGAGAGGAUGAUCCGCCACACUGGGACUGAGACACGGCCCAGACUCCUACGGGAGGCAGCAGUGGGGAAUAUUGGACAAUGGGGGGAACCCUGAUCCAGCCAUGCCGCGUGUGUGAAGAAGGCCUUAUGGUUGUAAAGCACUUUAAGCGAGGAGGAGGCUCUUUUGGUUAAUACCCAAGAUGAGUGGACGUUACUCGCAGAAUAAGCACCGGCUAACUCUGUGCCAGCAGCCGCGGUAAUACAGAGGGUGCGAGCGUUAAUCGGAUUUACUGGGCGUAAAGCGUGCGUAGGCGGCUUUUUAAGUCGGAUGUGAAAUCCCCGAGCUUAACUUGGGAAUUGCAUUCGAUACUGGGAAGCUAGAGUAUGGGAGAGGAUGGUAGAAUUCCAGGUGUAGCGGUGAAAUGCGUAGAGAUCUGGAGGAAUACCGAUGGCGAAGGCAGCCAUCUGGCCUAAUACUGACGCUGAGGUACGAAAGCAUGGGGAGCAAACAGGAUUAGAUACCCUGGUAGUCCAUGCCGUAAACGAUGUCUACUAGCCGUUGGGGUCUUUGAGACUUUAGUGGCGCAGCUAACGCGAUAAGUAGACCGCCUGGGGAGUACGGUCGCAAGACUAAAACUCAAAUGAAUUGACGGGGGCCCGCACAAGCGGUGGAGCAUGUGGUUUAAUUCGAUGCAACGCGAAGAACCUUACCUGGUCUUGACAUAGUAAGAACUUUCCAGAGAUGGAUUGGUGCCUUCGGGAACUUACAUACAGGUGCUGCAUGGCUGUCGUCAGCUCGUGUCGUGAAAUGUUGGGUAAGUCCCGAACGAGCGCACCCUUUUCCUACUUGCAGCAUUU
rnacentral:rRNA from 1 species